rnacentral:rRNA from 1 species
UACGUAGGUGGCGAGCGUUAUCCGGAAUUAUUGGGCGUAAAGAGCGCGCAGGUGGUUGAUUAAGUCUGAUGUGAAAGCCCACGGCUUAACCGUGGAGGGUCAUUGGAAACUGGUCGACUUGAGUGCAGAAGAGGGAAGUGGAAUUCCAUGUGUAUCGGUGAAAUGCGUAGAGAUAUGGAGGAACACCAGUGGCGAAGGCGGCUUCCUGGUCUGUAACUGACACUGAGGCGCGAAAGCGUGGGGAGCAAACAGGAUUAGAUA